UGAACAGAUCUUGCAUUGGGAAAGACACAUUGGGCAAAUAGUAGUUCUUGGUGGUGCUUUCUCAGUAAAUGGAAAUGUGAACCCAAUAGCAGAGGCCACUUUCAUUAGAUAAUAUAUUGUUCUGCUUCUAUAUCUAUCUCAAAAUUAUAUCGUUGCCUGCCUACUUGCCCUGCGAGUUGGGGCUCCUAGUUGGGGCAUCACAAGGGGACUCACAGUAUUAUACAACAAACAGAAGAGAUUUGCAGAAGUCACUGAGUGGUCGGACAAACCUACAGUGAAGUGCUCUAGCCAUUUUCAAACUACUCAUAGAUCGGCUUAUGGACUUGUAGAAAGAUUCAGACCUAGAGCCAUUUUAUGAU